GCUGGGUGUGGUGGCUCACGCCUGUAAUCCUAGCACUUUGGGAGGCUGAGGCAGGUGGAUCACCUGAGGUCAGGAGUUCAAGACCAGCCUGGCCAACAUGGUGAAACCUUGUCUCUA
rnacentral:sRNA from 1 species